rnacentral:rRNA from 1 species
CGCGUAGGCGGACAGUUUAGUCGGGGGUGAAAGCCCGGGGCUCAACCUCGGAAUUGCCUUCGAUACUGGCUGUCUUGAGUACGGGAGAGGUGUGUGGAACUCCGAGUGUAGAGGUGAAAUUCGUAGAUAUUCGGAAGAACACCAGUGGCGAAGGCGACACACUGGCCCGUUACUGACGCUGAUGCGCGAAGGCGUGGGGAGCAGACAGGAUUAGAUACCCUGGUAGUCCACGCUGUAAACGAUGAGUGCUAGUUGUCGGCAUGCAUGCAUGUCGGUGACGCAGCUAACGCAUUAAGCACUCCGCCUGGGGAGUACGGUCGCAAGAUUAAA